rnacentral:rRNA from 1 species
UACAGAGGUCCCAAGCGUUGUUCGGAUUCACUGGGCGUAAAGGGUGCGUAGGUGGUCGGGUAAGUCUGGUGUGAAAUCUCCGAGCUUAACUCGGAAAUGGCAUUGGAUACUAUUCGACUGGAGGGUUGGAGGGGGGACUGGAAUUCUCGGUGUAGCAGUGAAAUGCGUAGAUAUCGAGAGGAACACCAGUGGCGAAGGCGAGUCCCUGGACAACUCCUGACACUGAGGCACGAAAGCUAGGGGAGCAAACAG